rnacentral:rRNA from 1 species
UACGUAGGGGGGCGAGCGUUGUCCGGAAUUAUUGGGCGUAAAGAGCGUGUAGGCGGUUCGGUAAGUCUGCCGUGAAAACCUGGGGCUCAACCCCGGGCGUGCGGUGGAUACUGCCGGGCUAGAGGGUGGUAGAGGCGAGUGGAAUUCCCGGUGUAGCGGUGAAAUGCGCAGAUAUCAGGAGGAACACCAAUAGCGAAGGCAGCUCGCUGGGACGUUACUGACGCUGAGGAGCGAAAGCGUGGGGAGCGAACAGG